AUUUUGUUUCCUUUCUCUAGAUAGUUCUUCCUCUCACUUAUUCCCUGAUGGGCUCCUUUAAGACUAAACACCUCACCUCUGAAGCCUGCUGUGAUCCUCAAAUGUAAUAGAAGGUUGAAUCACUUCUCUC